AUAAAAAUGAAAGACUGGUGCAUUGUGCAGUUUAGCACUGGUGGUACAGAAAUAGUCCCUAGAUCAUGGAUAAAUGGGGAGAAAUUGUCAUGGCCUCCAUAUCCUCCGUGAGACACAUUCAGGAUCCACGACGCAGUAAAGAGGAGAGUUCAUCCUGGUGCAACAUGGCUCACCUAUGCACCAGUCCGACUUCUAAUAAGCCAUGGUGGGUAUCAUCUGGAUUGGUGUUGUAUAAAUGUAACAAUAACAAGUUUUUCGUGUCCUAAUUUAUGUCUGGCCAUACAUUGUGUUUGUACUUCCAGACACAUUUCACGAAGCAGAACGCAGUCUUCAGAAAUAUCUAAGUGAACACUGUGAUAUGUCUGACCUUCAGUCCGAAGCUGAAACUCAGACCAGUCAUAAAAGAAAGCACAAACCAAAUCCCCUGUACACAUAUAGUGACUCAGAGGAUGAGCAGCCCACAAAAAAAAUGGUUUCCCCAGGCCCCUCGAGUGAAAAUACCAGACCUGACGAGAGCUGUUAACGAACUCCGUGAGGAGGUCAGAGCCAUCCGCAAUACCGGCUGCAAUGAAUCGGUAGAUGCUGGGGUACUGCCUCUGGAUUUGCCCUUGCACAACAUUGAGGAGCUAAACAAUGCAGAGCCAGCUCUUCAAUCACAAGAGGCAA